rnacentral:sRNA from 1 species
UGCUUUGUAUAGCUUGAUUUAAUCAACUGUUUGCCGUGUUAAAGACAGCUUACUGAAUUCGAAAUGUAAAGAUACCCUCUAAGAGCCCCAAUUACUAAUUCCACUAAGUUGGAGCCUUUUAUAUUAUAACGGAAACGCAUCAACGUAAAUCUUCCCAGAUUCUAAAUAAUAAAUCAUUCGCUGAUUGUUUGCAAAUACGUCAUAAUAAUUCCCCCAUUUUUUAUAUUUUCCCUCAAAACUAAGCAUAACUUCGGCCUUGUCCGUGUUGUUUGUCUCCAUCGAAGUUGAGUCGCGGAUGCAUCCUUUUCGUAUUUCAGAACCAUAUCUGAAAUAAUUUUUUUUUUUUUCCACAAUAUUUUUUUUUAACACUUUUACAACACAAAUCUAUAAAAGUGAAAGGAUCAAAGUAAGUUAAAAACAUUAUGUGAGCCGUUCAGCCAUCAUCCGGUUUCAAGUUAACGAGAAGCGGAGUGGGGAGAGUGGGCACCCCUGUCUAACGCCUCAGACCAAGCCACCGUUACUUUCGGACACAACAUUAAGGGAGACGGAUCGGCCUUAACGCAGCUCGCAGUGAAGGCGAUUUUUCGACACUUUCACGGCUUUUAGCCGUACCGACUUUGGAUUAUUAUUUUUUUUUUCGUAUUUUUAGUUUAUUUUAUUUUUUAACAUAUAUUUUACAAACUGUGCUGUUUAGUGUCACUUUAUACCAAUAUAAGAUGAGGAAUCUGUUAUUAUUAGCAGUAGCAGUGUGCUGUUUAAAUAUAGUUUUAGGUCAGACAAAAUCCAAGUUAAACAACAUUAAAUGGCAGGCAAACCUUGGAGGUGCCGGAAUAGAAAAACGGUCAGCACCCAAUGCAGUAAACUUACAAAAUAACAUCAGACGACGUCGACAGACACCGACAAACAUCAGAAAGAAAAUAGAACGAAUAAUCUCCCUAAAAGGGGAAGGUGAUGUCAAUAUCUACCGAGGGUAUACUACCCCAUCUCCAAAUCAAGAAGCGCGAACCUUAGCUCCUAGGUGGCCUCCCACAAAUAUGAAACCCAUAUGGCCAACCUUGGCACCCGUUUACCCUUAUUAUUUAGCUGGAAGUGGCAAAAAUCGAGUCAAUUUGAUAGAAAACAUUGAGACUCAUUCUGGAAUUCCAGCCUCGAUGUGGGUAUCAGAACCACUGAAUCCUGAUCUUGGUUCACUUACUUGGAACGGAACACUGAACUGGGACGGGGCAACAAAAUGGGACGGGACGGGGUCUGGAAGAGAUAAGUUUAGUGUAGGGAAAAACACAAAGUGGGAUCUAAAUCGAGUAACAACCGAUAUGGGAAGUCGUACUUCUGGGUCGAAAACAGUAACUACAAAUGUUAAUGUAGAUGGAAACGCUGGAUCCGGAUCAGCGAGCAAGACAGUCGUGAAGGAAACCACGUAUUUCAAUAAGCCCGACAUUAACUCACAAUGGAUGGACACUUCAGUAGGUAGCAGAAUGCGUCUCAAUGGUGGAAGCACAGACAUUGAUAAUUCUUUGAUCUCCACGAAGAGAACAACAAACACAGUGGCUGCUGGCUCACUUGGGACUGGUGGAGUUGGUGGUUCAAAGACGACGGUAACGAAGACAACCACUACAGUUAAUAAGAACGCAGGUAAUACUGGGAAUCUAAAUGGCGGAUAUCUCGAUUUUUCAAAUACAAUUAAUAAUAUCAAGGAUAAAACGUAUGUGGAAAAGACCACAGAGAGACGAGUAAAUGAAGUGGUAAAUAAAGAUAUUUCAUCAUCCACAACGACUGGCGGACGAAACACGAUGACGACAGUUGAUACCUUUGAUAGUACCAUUACGGAUCCAUUUGUUAUGGAAGGAGGAGUAAGUACAACUGUUACAGAGAGAUCUCCUAACGGAGUUAGUAAGGUUACUAAGACAUACAGAAAUCCAAAUGGUAAUAUAAUCAAAACAAUCACAACCAUCACCAUAAUUAACGAAACAAAGAUUAUUUCAUCUGACGAAUUUGGUGGAGGAUCGUCUUCCACCUCUCAGACAACUGAUAGAGUGUUCGAUACAUCAACAAAGAACGUAAAGGUGACGAGCACCGACAGGACUGGCUCAUUAACACUGGAGAAGUCACCUAGAACUGUAGAUAUAUCGGGGGCAACUAAAGAUGUCACAAUCGAAAGAAAAAGUACCGAUCGUAUCUCACCGUCCACUGUUACAGAAACAAGAACGGUUACUACAGAAACAAAUAGACAAGGAACUCUCACAACAGACUCUGUGUCUUCUGGAAACAGGAAAAUCGACAACAUUCUUCGAGAAUCGCAUUCGUCAACUAACCUAGACGGUUCAUCAGUUGAUAUCUUGUUGAAUGGAAAUACACAGCCCGACUUUAGAGAGACAGUUACAGUCCAGGAGGUCCCUGUUGUCAGAGGAGAUACGUUAACGGAAACCAUUACAACCACAAACACUAACCCUGCAUUGGACAUUAACACGUCCAUAUCAGGAGGUUCAAGAACAUCUUCCAACACCUUAACAACAAAUGAAUUCAUUGAAACUGGUACAACCAAAGUAGAUAUAUCAAGAGACAGAGGGACGUCGGGCAUUGGUAUUUCAACAGUUGAUGUGUCUGGAGCUUCCAAUGUACAGGACACUUUUACAACCGAUAGCAGAUUUCAACCAACAAAUCAAAACAUUGUAACCGAAACAAUCACUGAAACAGUGGUAACUGGAGAUCGUCCACGUACAGAAACAACGGAAACUAUCACUACCAGAGCAGACGCUACUGGGAGUUCAAGUUCCACUGAUUUCGUUUUCAUUCCAACCAACGAAAGAACGGAAACCAAGACUUUUGUGACGUCAAGCAAAGAUGCAUCAUCUCAGUCCUCCAAUUUGAUAGGUCUUACUGGUUCUGAUUCUUCUGGAUUGAAAAAAAUAUCUACUUCAAAAGUGGGCGAUGUAGUUAUAACGGAGAGUAUUGGACCUGGUGGUCAAAAACUGAUUACAAGAGAGACAAUAAUUAGGGAAACCUUUGCCGGAGGAGUAGAACCUCAUACAAUAACAAUUACUGAUGCCCAUAGCGGUGGAGUAACUAGUGACACUAUUUUUGGCGGCAGAGAAAUCAAUAGAAGACCUACAAGCACUAAUGUGUUUGGAGGGAUAAAUGUAGAAUCUCGUCGUUUUUCCGAUACAACACAGGAUACCUCAGUUAAUGUUGGUACAACAGAUUCAACUAACUCUCGUACCGUUGUUGACACAAGUGCAUCAUCAACAGGCGCUUCUUCUAAUAAUUACGUUUUGCCUGAAUCGGGAGGUACAAGUCGGGGGCAAUCAACUACCAUUCGAAACAUCACAGUCAUAGAUUACACAAACGACGGGCCUCGUUCUGAUAUUAAAGAAACUAUCAACUACGAAACUAGUGGGACACAGGGAACUAGAUCUUCUGCCUCAACAACGUUGUUUGCGGGGUCAACAGAUGGUAUACCAAUUAUGAUAGAUUAUGGUCCUUCUGUGCAGGAAACCGUCAGAACGGUUAAUGUUGAUCCUCCUCCGAUGAUUAUCCCAAAGGAGACUGUCGAAUCUGUUAGAACUCGCAAUGAUAACAUCAACUAUAGGCCAAUUGAUACGAACUUUGAAAGUGCAUUUACAAGGAGCACUAUUGAUGGUCAGCCAGUAGUUGUGGAAACGAUAACUGAAACGUUUGUUGAUAACCGGCCUGUAAAGGAAGUAGUGAAGACUGUAACAGAAAGAGUUGUUGAUCAAGGAAGAACUGGUGUUGACUCUUCUAUAACCUCUUCAACUUCUUCCACUAAAACAUCGAAAUCAUCUUCCUCAUCUGCAUCCAGUAAUGUAGACACUAAUUUGUAUGACACUGUUGACACCAUUACUACAGAUGGUCUUCCAUUUGAUGUUUUAAUUGUUAAACCUGGAAGAUCGGUAACCGAGGUUCAAUCAAACUAUAGCGACACUGGCGGUGUUGUUACCAAUGACAUUGGGGCUGUAGAGGGAACAGGCGUUCAAACAGUGACUGUUGUGGAGGAAAUCGUUACGACAAACUCUAGACCAGCGACCGGAAUUAUCAGAGAGACAACGCCUUCAGUCACUGGGCGUGAAGUGGGAACCAGCCGAGACGUUGGAUCAACUGUGACCAUGAAGGAACCAAAAUGAGCUUGGCACCAGCCGAGAUGUUGGAGCAACAGUUGUUGUAACUGGUCAAGAUAAUCGGGAUCUCAAUGUUGGAGGAACCGUGAUUGGGAAAAGCCGUGACAGAGACGCAUCUGUUACAAUUACACGCCAGGACAAUGUUGUGACUGACACAGGAUCAAAUCAGGGAGUGGACGUUUUAGUUACAGGCACAACUGAUAACGUUGUAGGUACAAGUCGUGACAGAGAUGCGACAGUAACAAUUAUAAAAGAGACCAUCGUUACAGACCCCACUUUAGAAAUUUCUAGUUCAACCCAAGGAAGGGAUAUUUCAAUGACAGUUAGAAAUGAAGGUUUAAGUGGAUCUGUAUCUGGAACAAGCAGAGACAGAGAUGCAUCUGUGACAAUAGCCGGUCAAGGAAAUACUCUAACUGAUCCAACUCUAGACCUUUCCGGAUCAAGUCAAAACAGAAAUGUGGGCAGGAUCCACCUCCUUCACCGGAAGUCAGACCAAGGACACAUCAAUUGGGAUCGAAUAUGCCAGGAGGAUCAACCAUUUACAGUUUCAAAUAACGUAGAUGGAAAUGUAGACUUCAACAGACAAGAUGGGCAAACAGGAACAGUGGUCACCGUUACUAACACAACCACCCUGAAUACAGAUGUCCGAGCACCAGAAGUCUCGGAGACUGUUGUUACUGAAGCUUUUGUAAACUCAGAUUUAUCCAAAAAGACAGUUGUCGUUCCUGAAGAUAUAACAGUAACAAGAGAAUUGAUAAAUACAACGGACACAACUCAAGAUAUGUUGCCGGCUGGAAAAACAAUCAUCCGAGAAACAAUAAUUACUGAGACCUUUGUAACCGACGGAAAAGGCGGGCUUACUCCAGUUAAAGUUGUCGAUGGUAGCCAAUCAGCUUUCACGACUAGCGAUUUUACUGACGUAAAUACUGGAAGCUCAUUUGAGACGUCAGUAACGGGGUCUUCGUCAUCGUCCUUUCAAACAUCAUCGUCGACUUUGGAAACAGUCGGGAUCUACAAUGACGAAUUCAUUGCUACCGGUAGUAGAUUCAGCAAACAUUGCAGACGUUGUCCCAUCAGAGACCGUAGGACUAUGGACCGAACGUUGAACCAGUGGUUGUGCCCUUACCAACAGAGCAAAUUGACUUCACUGAGUCAAUAUCCGGCAGUCAAUCAGUAACUGGACAAAAUUCAUUAAGUGAAACUAUCGUUACUGGAGAACCUUCCUUGCAAAACAGCUCUUGGACAAACUAUACCACAAUUCGAGGUCCUCAGGGAGAUUCCCACAAUAAUUAUUGAAGAAACUGUUAUAAUUGAAAAUAUAACUCAGCCAAUCGGCCCUGAGAUUAUCAACAACUGGCGCCAUGAAUACAUACAAUGAAACAACAUCAUCUACAUCCUCAAAUAGCAAAAAUGAUUUCAGAACUGUUGAAACAUCAUUUACUCUAGACGCUAAUGGCGUGACAAGAGAUUCGUCGUCCAGCAACGUUGUUUUAGACAAUGUAAUUCCAACAACUAGUGAGCCGGCAGUCGUAACUGAGAGUAACUUAGCUAUAACGGAAGGGUCAUCUUCCACUAUGACUAACUCAAAUCCUGGGUUUGAUCUGGUAUUCCUAAACACAAAAACAUCAUCAUCGCCACCAAAGCCUAGACAACAAGUAGAGGAGAUUAUAACCUACAGUGACGGAAGAAAUUAUUACAGGCCACGGAGAUAGCGAUAAAACCACAAACAAAAACUACCAUACAAAAUGACGGGUCGGUGGUGACAGAGGUUGUUGAAAUAUUAGACUCGAGCACAGGAGGAAGGUCUGCAUCAACAACUUCUGAAAAUUCGUCCUUUCAAUCUUCGCAAAGUUCAAGCUCUAGCCGGUAUAAAUAUAAUCAAACCAAGGCAGCCCGGCAGAAUUGUAAGCGGGCCUUCGGGUGUAUCGGGAAGUCUUGACAUAGCAAGUGGGGAUCUUGCUGGGGGCUCGUCGUUAUCCCUAACACCUCCCGGUAUGAAUAGACAAAACUAGCGCUAUAUUAUUUUUCAUAGAGCCGGGCGUCACGGCCGAUUCGAGUCCGACAGUUUCUAGCACUACAAACAGGAGCUGAGACUCCAGUAAUUACUGAAUCCUGACAGUACUAUAUCAAGACGGAAAGAAUCAUUUAACCUGAGGAAUGUUGAUACAAACAUUCAAGGGCUCUGUCGGGUUUAUUGAAAGACCUGGCACAGAAAUUGUGACAACAGAAACUCGAGUAGAAAAAUCAUCAUCCAGUUCCGUCGGUGAUAUGUCUGGAGGUUUUGAAACUUCUAUCAACACAGAUGGAAGCGUGGUUGGAAGCUCAGGGACUACAAUAGAAACGGUCAGUAGCACAAGCGGCUCUGACACAGCGAACACUAACACGGUGUCGUUUGACGCAGAAGUCAGAAGUGGAAGUGCGUUAUCAAACAAUGACAAUAUACUUAGAGGAGAAAUUGGAAGUGUGACUACAAGCCAAUCAGUUAGUUCAGCUUCUCCUGUCAGGACUACAAUGGGGUUAUCAAAUCCAGUGAUUUUCAACUCUGAACGAAUGGCUGCUAAGAAUACAGAAACCACCUUCUAAAAUUCCGAUGGACACAAGCUUAACUGCAGAUAUCGGACUCACGACUGGCAACCCAGUCAGAAGGAAGCGUGCGGUAGGUGAAAACAGGAUGGUUGAACAGAUAAACAGUAUGCUGGAUGUUCUCACGGGUUAUUUCAAGGAAACGCACAACAAAACGGCAAACAACAUAGUUCAGGCACUGACAAAGAUGCAUAAGACGAAAAAGAAUGACCCAUCCAUGAAACUACUAAAUAUCACCGUUAAAACGAAACUUAAAACUUUGCCAGAUUCUAGUAGUAAGACAAAACAUGGAGCGGAGAUACUUUCAAAGACGUCUAAAUUUGACGUUCUUGGUAAGAAAUCAAUGAAAAACAAGUCACGAAAAACCUAAAUCCAGAAUGUCGGAACAAAAGCAAAGGACUCGUAAAGCGAAAGAACUUGAUGUUGUUUCCAAAGCAAAAGUAAAAGUCUCAAAACCAUCACGCAUUAUUAUAGAAGAGCCGUUGGAACGAGUCGUGAUUCCAUCAGAAAAUGUGAAAAUGUCAUUAUCAAGAUCAGUUUCGCCAACUGCUAGCGAAAGGGUAAUUGAACAAAUCAAACAAGAAAUGAAAAUCGAGAAGAAAAAUGAACUUCGGAAGCUUAAAACGGCUGAUAAAGUAACGCAAAUCUCAAAAAUUAAAGAAAUUCCACAGACAGUCACCAUACAACCUAAGGUUGACACUAUAAGCAAGGUAAAUGUAAAUACAAUUAAGCAAAAGGAACCGGAAACGACACCGGAACCGCUAUCAAUAGAUACCACAUACGUCUAUGAAUUUGUAACACAAGAACCAAUAACGGAAAUCAUUUAUCCGGAAACAACAAAAAGGAAAACCACUUCUACUACUACAACCACUACAACCACUACGACCACAACUACCCCCGCUCCCCCUCCGCCUCCCAAACCCGUCCCCACGUCACCCCUUGAUAAAGCCCGCGUAAUUUUUGGUCAGAAUGGCGAGUCACGCCGUCAGAGGAGACCUCCCCGCAAGAGGAAACAAAUGCUGAGCGAAAACAUCUCUCAGCGCUUGGCUACUUCAGAGGACUUUUCCCGGGUUAAAACAGCAGGUCAAUUGUCCAACGCCAUUCCUCAUUCCGAUGUUAGUGGAGGAUUUGUUUUGUCCAGAGUUGAGGAUCAGCAACAGGUUGGGAUGUCCCGGAUGUCAGAUGUUUCAAGCAACCAUCACGAAAACAACCAACAAAUGGCCGACAUUUCCAGAGUUUCGGAAUUCUCUGACCAUCGAAGAAACAACCAUGGAACUUCGAUGGGUUAUGAUAUGGUUCAUGAUCAAGCUAGAGGCAAGAAUACAGCAUAGACUGUGUAGCUGCUGUAUGAUAACAUAUGUUUGUCAUUAAACAAAAUUAUAACAUCUGCUUUAAUCGUUUUAACUUUUUGUAUAUGCACGAAUAUAAAGCCUAAUGAAUCACGCCUAUGUUUUCAUUGCAUGCGGGAGUGGGAUAUAAGCCCAAUGGUUUAGCUUAGUAUAUUUUGCUUGUUUGCGUUGUGGGUAUAAAAGCAUGAUCGUAUCAUAAGCUUGACAUUGUAUUGUAACCUUAUAUGUUAUAAUCACACAUCAUACAUUUAUAUAAACAUUGUUUCUUUAGGAGAUGUAUUUCAUUCCUUUAGCUAACUAACCUUUCAUGCUAAUGUUCUUCAUUACUAGAAUCAUCCAAUAACACAAAUGCAACUGUAGAUGACCUAAUACUUGCGAACACAACGGAGUUAACAAUGGAAAUUAACACUACUACGUCAUAUCCUACGACGACUGCGCAAAGCGCUAUUCCUGAACCAGUGCCUGUAGCAUUUAAUGACUUAUCUAGUCCCCGUAUCCUCACAUGUAAUGUUGUUUUUAUUUAAAUGAAAAAAUAAUGUAUUUUUUUUUUAAAGUUUAAAAGAAACCCACAAAUCUUAAUCAUUGAAACAUAAAAUUAUGAUUAUUUGAGAGAAUGAGAGUAGUUUCAGUAAUGAGACAAAUUGAUUCCUUUGAAAACGUAAACCAAUAUAACCCUUUUUUGACCGACGUUGUUUUGUUUCUCUAAAGAUUUGUUUAAACUCUUUUUACAGCUCCAGUGACGUCAUCAUCUUCGUCUAGUUUAUCCAUGUCGUCUUCCGCACGAGACGCCGCCUUUACAGGUUUAGGUCAAGGUCAUGGCGUGUCUGAUUCGUACAGAGAAAAUAAACAGACUUCUCAAUCUAGAAACAAUGGAAUGUCUGACAACGCAAUGAGCGCAUUCCUUGCUGUUUUGUCUCCACAACAGAAACUGCAACUCCAGUCCCUUCUUGGUGGUGGCGGAGCUAAUAACUUUCAACCGCCAAGACGACCUCCAACUACCACGACUACCACCACAACAACCACCACCACACCAGCACCACCGCCCGUCCAGGGUCCACCUGACUUCAGUGCACUUGCGCAGAAAAUGCUGCAAAGUCUAAAUGCAAAGAAUUCUCCAUCCCCAGACCAACUACAGCAGAUGAUGGGAGGAAUGAACCCAGACGCUGGAGUCAACCCGAUGAGUCAGUUAAUGGCUUCAAUGCUGGGUGGAGGCGGGUCAGAGUCAUCUGGCGGAAACAGUGGGAGACCAAGUCGUUUUAACGAUCCGUUAAGUAUGAGCAUGGCUGGAAUGAACCCAAUGAUGCGAAGAAUGAUGAUGAGGAAUAUGCGUAUGGGCAAUACUGCAACGGACCCCGGGGAGGUACCGGAACAACCAACACCAGGAGAGACCGGAGGAAUGAACCCCUUGAUGCUGAUGGCCAUGGGAGGUGGAGCGGGCGGCGGAAGUGGCGGACUGGCCAGCCUACUGUCCGGCGGUCUGGGCGGAAGUGGAGGCGGAGGAUUGGCGUCUCUCCUUGGCGGCGGCGGCGACAUGAUGGGAGGUCUUGGUGCAGCACUAGGUGGAGGGGGCGGAUCCGGAAGUAGCGGAUUAGACAUGGCUGCCAUGGCCCAGGCUAUGAGUAUGUUCGGCGGCGGCGGCGCUGGACCGGAUGCAGCUUCGUCAUCAAUGAACGAACCUUCCUCUUCAUCAUCGUCUUCAUCUUCCUCUGGAAACUCUAACAAAUCAGCCUCCAAAUCUCAGUCCAGUGGUUCUUCCAACGCCGGGAACUCAGAACCAAGCCCCGCACCGGAUACAGGUCUUGACGCCAUGAUGGGUGGUAUGGGAGGACUAAAUCCCUUGGCUUUGAUGGGAGGGGGUGGAAAUAUGGGAGCUUUGGCCAGCCUGAUGGGUAUGGGCGGCGGAAUGGGAGGUGGGAUGGGAGGUCUAGGUGCUCUCGCAGCUCUCGGUGGAGAUCUUCCAGAUAUGCCAUCAAGAGGAGGUAAGAAAUGUAGCCAAUGUAUUAAUAUUAAUUGUACAUGAACUAACGGAAUAUAUCCAGAAAAAGACUAUUGUUGACAGUCUACUAUCUAUGUAAAGAAAAGCUAAAUCAGCAUCAGUGUUGUAGAAGUGCACAGCCUAAUUUUGUCCAUUGUGUUUGUUUUCAUAAGUCUUUGACAUUUUAUCUCCUUAUUCACUUUCUUUCGACAUAUAGUUUUCUGUCCCUCUAUUAUUCUUUUUUUUUUAUAGAUCUACAUCAUUCUAUGCCCAAUGUAUUUCUUUGUUUCUCUUAAAGCUUUCUAUUCCUUAGCCUCUGUCUUUGUUUCUUUUAAUCUUUUCCUUCCUUGUCUCGAGUUCCUUUGUGUGCUUGAGCAAAUACAACUGCUAUAGUGCAUCAUGUUUGUGGUAAAUCUUUUAAAAUGUAGCAAUCAAAUUCAAGAAAAAUUGUUUUCAAUGUUAGUGAACUUGUUUUUAAAAAAGUAGUAUUUACCUUAAAGGAAUGAUGGGCGGAAGAGGUGGAAUGGGAUCUAUGGGAAUGAACCCAAUGGCAGCCAUGCUUGGCGGACUCGGUGGAAUGGUCAAAAGAUCAACACUAAAAACCAACACCGCCGACGGUGGGCGUUCCAGAAGACGGAAUACGGAUUUCACCGUCGGUGGAAGGAGGGACCCGGUUCCUGUUGACCUUUUCUCCGACACUUUCACGCCGGUUAAGAGUCACAUCACCGGUAACUCUGUCGCUAUUGGUACCAGUGGAUCGGUCAAAGACGCCGUCUCUCAGAAAGCAAUUCCACCACCGGAUCCGUUUAAAUCUGCAAGAUCCAAAACAGAAAACAUUCGUCAAUUCAAUUAUCAGGAGCCUAGAAAUUCAAACACAAUGAAGAAUGCUCCUUUGGAUAUAACUUUCCAGACGAAAAAUACCCAAUCGGCCACAAACACAUUAGAGAAGACUCUUCCUUCUGCAUCAUCAAAUAAACAGGUCGGAAGCGCCUCACCUUGGAACACACCAGUGGCAGUUCAAAAUAACCUUAACGCCUGGCCUGGUUCGAACCUGGUACCAACAACCACAGUUUCCCCACCAACUGUCACCAGCGUGCCACAAAUUGCCACAACAGAUUCCUUUUUUGGGCUGACGCCCCAUGACGCAGCCGGGCAGAUGUCACACAUGGGCUUCCUACAGAACCCUAUGCCCACACAGACACAGGCGGGUUUCGGUUCAACUGGAAUGAACAACAUGUUUGACAUGGGCAUGGGAAGCUUUGGGCUAGGAGGCUUGGGGCUCGGUCAAACAACAAUGAUGCACGGAGUCGGGAGCGUUGGUGGUUCUGGUAAUAUGGGAGGGUUUGGUCCCGCAGCCAUAGGAUCUACAGCUGGUGCAGCAGGAGGACCCAGCCAAUUUAACCAAAUGUUAUCAAAUGGAGCUAACACAGACAUGUUGUUUGCCAGCAUUGGACUUAUUCCAGAUCAAAUAGGUAACAUUGACAAAAAGGCGGUUUUAUGUGUUUUGUAAUUG